rnacentral:rRNA from 1 species
CCUACGGGUGGCAGCAGUGGGGGAUAUUGCACAAUGGGGGAAACCCUGAUGCAGCGACGCCGCGUGGGUGAAGAAGCGCCUCGGCGCGUAAAGCCCUGUCAGCAGGGAAGAAAAUGACGGUACCUGAAGAAGCCCCCCCGGCUACCUACGUGCCAGCAGCCGCGGUCAUACGUAGGGGGCAAGCGUUAUCCGGAUUUACUGGGUGUAUAGGGGGCGCAGACGGCGAUGCAAGCCAGGAGUGAAAGCCCGGGGCCCAACCCCGGGACUGCUCUUGGAACUGCGGGGCUAGAGUGCAGGAGGGGAAGGCGGAAUUCCUGGUGUAGCGGUGAAAUGCGUAGAUAUCAGGAGGAACACCGGUGGCGAAGGCGGCCUGCUGGACUGCAACUGACGUUGAGGCCCGAAAGCGUGGGGAGCGAACAGGAUUAGAUACCCCAGUAGUC